rnacentral:rRNA from 1 species
GACGAACGCUGGCGGCGUGCCUAAUACAUGCAAGUCGAACGAGUGGCGGAUGGUUGAGUAACACGUGGGAACCUACCCAUCAGAGGGGGAUAACACCUGGAAACAGGUGCUAAUACCGCAUACUGAUGGAUGGACCCGCGGUGCAUUAGCUAGUUGGUGGGGUAACGGCUCACCUAGGCGACGAUCCCUAGCUGGUCUGAGAGGAUGGUCAGCCACACUGGGACUGAGACACGGCCCAGACUCCUACGGGAGGCAGCAGUGGGGAAUAUUGCACAAUGGGCGCAAGCCUGAUGCAGCCAUGCCGCGUGUAUGAAGAAGGCCUUCGGGUUGUAAAGUACUUUCAGUCGGGAGGCGUUACCGACAGAAGAAGCACCGGCUAACUCCGUGCCAGCAGCCGCGGUAAUAC